rnacentral:tRNA from 1 species
GGAGGGGUGACUGAGUGGUUGAAAGUACCGGUCUUGAAAACCGGCGUGCGUGCAAGCGUACCGUGGGUUCGAAUCCCACCCCCUCCGCCA